rnacentral:tRNA from 1 species
CGCGGGGUAGAGCAGCCCGGUAGCUCGUCAGGCUCAUAACCUGAAGGUCGUGGGUUCAAAUCCCACCCCCGCAACCA